UACAGAGGUCUCAAGCGUUGUUCGGAUUCAUUGGGCGUAAAGGGUGUGUAGGUGGCGCGCUAAGUCGGGGUGUGAAAUUUCGGAGCUUAACUCCGAAACUGCAUUCGAUACUGGCGUGCUUGAGGACUGGAGAGGAGACUGGAAUUCAUGGUGUAGCAGUGAAAUGCGUAGAGAUCAUGAGGAAGACCAGUGGCGAAGGCGGGUCUCUGGACAGUUCCUGACACUGAGGCACGAAGGCCAGGGGGAGCAAACGGGG
rnacentral:rRNA from 1 species